CCAGCCAGCCCGUCACCUGGUUGGCCUGCGGGGCACGCGGCGGGGCGGCCUCCAAGUGUCCUCAGGAGCCAAAAGACAGAGGUCCCAGUGCCAGCUCCGCCACCAGCUCUGCACGUUAGCCCCAGAAGACCCCCAGUACGGUGCGGUUGUGGAGCGACGGCAGGCCGGCUAUGCCCCGCGUGGCUGCGUUGCUGAGCCGGCGCGGGUUGGGCAGCUGCGGCUCCUCCAGAGCCUGAUACACACCGUCGGCGUAAUUGGCUGCUAGUACUGGAGGAGGAGCACCAGCUGUUUCCACUUCUGGAAGGUAGCUGUUAGAAGCAUCACCGAGGACCUUCAUCCAAACGCCACUCUUUCCAGGACAAUUGGCAGCUCUGGAGGCAUUGACACUGUUCCCCAUCCGCCACCCCAUCAGAGAGUUAACCCCCGACCAUAGGAACCCACUGGGCAGGAGUCUUCUGGGGCAUGUCAGUCCAGGGCAGGACUGGUCAAGCCUCCCAGGGUGUGCCCAAUGUCUCCAAUGUUUCACCUCCACCCGCCCCCGAUCCGUCAGGCUCCGCUUCUCCUCCAGGAGGCAGGGAAGGGAAAAAGGUUACUGACCUGGGAGUGAGGGACUGCAGCACCCUUCCACAAUGAAUCCCCCCUUCCCCAAUAAACUCCCCUUCUGCAAUGAACGCCUGUGCAUGAUGGGCGAGGGCUAGGGUCAGAUCCCAAACUCUGGUCUAACCUGUGGUUUAGGGUGGUGUUGGGUUCAGAUGUCUUCUUUCCUCUUAAAAUCUUUGCUUCUGUGCUCUACUUCUUGCCUUCACCCUCACUCUUCCA
rnacentral:lncRNA from 1 species